rnacentral:rRNA from 1 species
AUUGAACGCUGGCGGCAGGCCUAACACAUGCAAGUCGAGCGGAUGAAGGGAGCUUGCUCCUGGAUUCAGCGGCGGACGGGUGAGUAAUGCCUAGGAAUCUGCCUGGUAGUGGGGGAUAACGUCCGGAAACGGGCGCUAAUACCGCAUACGUCCUGAGGGAGAAAGUGGGGGAUCUUCGGACCUCACGCUAUCAGAUGAGCCUAGGUCGGAUUAGCUAGUUGGUGGGGUAAAGGCCUACCAAGGCGACGAUCCGUAACUGGUCUGAGAGGAUGAUCAGUCACACUGGAACUGGGACACGGUCCAGACUCCUACGGGAAGCAGCAGUGGGGAAUAUUGGACAAUGGGCGAAAGCCUGAUCCAGCCAUGCCGCGUGUGUGAAGAAGGUCUUCGGAUUGGAAAGCACUUUAAGUUGGGAGGAAGGGCAGUAAGUUAAUACCUUGCUGUUUUGACGUUACCAACAGAAUAAGCACCGGCUAACUUCGUG